rnacentral:misc_RNA from 1 species
ACAAAUGAAUGCCUCUGCUUGCAGAGCGCACACACACCCGGUCACAUGAUUUGUAGAGCCUCUGCUCAGUGUAAUCUAGUAUUAUUUUGACAGAGGACAUGUAUUAAAAACCCCCUUUUAUUUAAAUGAAUUAUAAUGGCUCAGUCUCGGCUGGCUAGAAUUAAUGAAAUA